rnacentral:rRNA from 1 species
CAGUAGCCGCGGGAAAACGGAGGGUGCAAGCGUUAAUCGGAAUUACUGGGCGUAAAGCGCACGCAGGCGGUCUGACAAGUCAGAUGUGAAAUCCCCGGGCUUAACCUGGGAACUGCAUUUGAAACUGUCAGGCUGGAGUCUUGUAGAGGGGGGUGGAAUUCCAGGUGUAGCGGUGAAAUGCGUAGAGAUCUGUAGGAAUACCGGUGGCGAAGGCGGCCCCCUGGACAAAGACUGACGCUCAGGUGCGAAAGCGUGGGGAGCAAACAGGAUUAGAUACCCCUGUAGUCCCUGUCUCUUAUAC